rnacentral:lncRNA from 1 species
UAAGUUUAUAUAUAGAUAGCUAUUAAAUACAUUUGACACUAUAAGGAGCUCUCUCUGCUUCUCUCCAUAGAGAGAGGAACAUUUGUGAGACAGUACACUAAUAUGGGGUCAAUGUUUUAAAUGCAGAUUUCAGCUACAGAAGCUACACCAGUGACAACUAUGAAUAUGGAUAUGACAACAAGCUUGGAAUUACAAGGUUGACAUCAAUGGCUGUAUUAAUAUGAGUAAAAAAACCACAACCAGGAGGCCUGAUAAUAUAUUUGUUGAAAAGCAAAGAAUAAAGAAAAUUAUAAUAAUAAUAAAAAGAGCAUCUCAGAAGCAAAGACUGCUAAAUAAUCAGAUAAUCAAAUGUGAACUUUAACACCUUUUUUUUUAUUGAAUGUUUCUGAUGUACUUUCUAUUAGGAAGAAUAUCACCAGACAAACACUCUUUAAGAAACUUGUACUUUGGCUGAAGGCUGAGACCAAGAAUUGUAGUUCUCAUAGAAAUUAUUAGAAGCUGUUUAAAAUAAUAAACAAAUGUGGAAAGAAUGAAAGUGAAUGACU